rnacentral:rRNA from 1 species
AUUGAACGCUGGCGGCAUGCUUUACACAUGCAAGUCGAACGGCAGCGCGGGCUUCGGCCUGGCGGCGCGUGGCGAACGGGUGAGUAAUGCAUCUGAACGUCCCCCCUAUUGCGGGAUAGCCCGUCCAGAGCCGGAUUACUACCGCCUACGACCUGAUGCUGAAGGCGGGGGAGCGAUAGGCCUCUCGCUCUUGGAGCGGCCGAGGUCGGGUUUGCUAGUUGGUGGGGUAACGGCUUACCAAGGCGACGAUCCGUAGCUGGUCUGAGAGGACGACCAGCCACACUGGGACUGAGACACGGCCCAGACUCCUAAGGGAGGCAGCAGUGGGGAAUUGUGGACAAUGGGGGCAACCAUGAUCCAGCCAGGCCGCGUGCGGGAAGAAGGCGUUGGGGUUGUAAACCGCUUUUGUGCGGGAAGAAAUGCUCUGGGCUAAUACCCAGGGGGGAUGACGGUACCGGAAGAAGAAGCACCGGCUAACUACGUG